AACGAACGCUGGCGGCAUGCCUAACACAUGCAAGUCGAACGAGACCUUCGGGUCUAGUGGCGCACGGGUGCGUAACGCGUGGGAACCUGCCCUUAGGUUCGGAAUAACUCCCCGAAAGGGGUGCUAAUACCGGAUAAUGUCUUCGGACCAAAGAUUUAUCGCCUUUGGAUGGGCCCGCGUUGGAUUAGCUAGUUGGUAGGGUAAAAGCCUACCAAGGCGACGAUCCAUAGCUGGUCUGAGAGGAUGAUCAGCCACACUGGGACUGAGACACGGCCCAGACUCCUACGGGAGGGAGCAGUGGGGAAUAUUGGACGAUGGGCGAAAGCCUGAUCCAGCAAUGCCGCGGGAGUGAUGAAGGCCUUAGGGUUGUAAAGCUCUUUUACCCGGGAUGAUAAUGACAGUACCGGGAGAAUAAGCUCCGGCUAACUCCGUG
rnacentral:rRNA from 1 species